rnacentral:tRNA from 2 species
UGGGGUGUCGCCAAGCGGUAAGGCAGCAGGUUUUGAUCCUGCCAUGCGUUGGUUCGAAUCCAGCCACCCCAGCCA